UUUUUUUUGAGAUGGUGUCUCUCUCUGUCGCCCAGGCUGGAGUUCAAUGGUGCUAUCUUGGCUCACUGCAAGCUCCGCCUCCCGGGUUCACACCAUUCUCCUGCUUCAUACUCCCGAGUAGCUGGGACUACAGGCGCCCACCACCACACCCGGCUAAUUUUUUCGUUUUUUGGGUUUUUUUUUUUAGUAGAGACUGGGUUUCACUGUGUUAGCCAGGAUGGUCUCGAUCUCCUGACCUCGUGAUCUGCCCGCCUCAGCCUCCCA
rnacentral:lncRNA from 1 species